rfam:Alligator mississippiensis ScZkoYb_1108, whole genome shotgun sequence.
CUAUAUGUACCCUGUAGAAUCGAAUUUGUGUGAACAUUUCAGAGUCACAAAUUCGUCUCUAGGGGAAUAUAUGGA